rnacentral:rRNA from 1 species
CCCAGACUCCUACGGGAGGCAGCAGUGGGGAAUAUUGGGGAAUGGGCGCAAGCCUGACCCAGCAACGCCGCGUGAAGGAAGAAGGCUUUCGGGUUGUAAACUUCUUUUAUUCGGGACGAAGAAAGUGACGGUACCGAAUGAAUAAGCCACGGCUAACUACGUGCCAGCAGCCGCGGUAAUACGUAGGUGGCACGCGUUAUCCGGAUUUAUUGGGUGUAAAGGGCGUGUAGGCGGGAAUGCAAGUCAGAUGUGAAAACUCAGGGCUCAACCCUGAGCCUGCAUUUGAAACUGUAUUUCUUGAGUGCUGGAGAGGCAAUCGGAAUUCCGUGUGUAGCGGUGAAAUGCGUAGAUAUACGGAGGAACACCAGUGGCGAAGGCGGAUUGCUGGACAGUAACUGACGCUGAGGCGCGAAAGCGUGGGGAGCAAACAGGAUUAGAUACCCCAGUC